rnacentral:tRNA from 1 species
GCCACUGUAGCUCAGGGGCUGCGCCUCCAAACGCGCACCUAGAGAGCGGCGGUUUCGUAAACCGCAGGUCGGGGGUUCAAAACCCUCCAGUGGCUCCA